UUAACAGUGUGUUCCAUUAAGUCUUCUUUACUCAUGCUGUAUGAAUCUUGAGACGAUCCGACGGUUAAAAAAUUAUAAGCACGUUAAACUCCUAUGCUUUUAAAAGCACAAGAGCUCAACUCUUUCUCUCUCUCUCUUUCUCUUUAUGAGUUGGACUGGGCUACUAUUAGUAGCAAAAUACCAUUGUUGCUACCAGUUUUUUAGCCUUUGGAUCAACUCUUUUCAUUAUUUCUAACCAUUGGAUUAAAUACUAUAAUCCAGUGAGGACCACUCAACCCUAGGGGGACCACUCAACUCUAACCGACUAAUAUCAUCCUGACCCUACAAUUUUUCAUCCAAGGGUUAAAAACUUGAUAGCAAAAAGAGCGUUUUACUAUUAAUAGUAUUCCAGCCUAAUUCUAUAUAUAUAUA
rnacentral:lncRNA from 1 species